rnacentral:rRNA from 1 species
GUAGUGUAUGUCAGACUUCCAAGAAAAGCUUGCACUGUCAUAAAUAAGAAAUGCCUGUACCAUAACCGACACAGGUGGGUAGGUAGAGUAUACUAAGGGGCGCGAGAUAACUCUCUCUAAGGAACUCGGCAAAAUAACUCCGUAACUUCGGGAGAAGGAGUGCCUUAUUUAUAAGGUUGCAAUAACAAGAUCCAAGCAACUGUUUACCAAAAACACAGGUCUCCGCUAAGUCGUAAGACGAUGUAUGGGGGCUGACGCCUGCCCAGUGCCAGAAGGUUAAAGAAGUUGGUUAGCAUCCGCGAAGCUGAUAACUGAAGCCCUGGUGAACGGCGGCCGUAACAAUAACGGUCCUAAGGUAGCGAAAUUCCUUGUCGGGUAAGUUCCGACCCGCACGAAAGGCGUAAUGAUUUGGAUACUGUCUCGGAGAGGGGCUCGGUGAAAUAGACUUGUCUGUGAAGAUGCGGACUACCUGCACCUGGACAGAAAGACCCUAUGAAGCUUUACUGUAACUUGAAAUUGAAAUUGGACUUUAUUCGCGCAGUAUAGGUGGGAAGCGUUGAAAAUAUUCUUGCGGGAAUAUUGGAGCUAUCAGUGAGAUACCACUCUUAUAAUGUUAGGUUUCUAACUUUGUACCAUUAUCUGGUCAAAGAACAGUUUCAGGCGGGCAGUUUGACUGGGGCGGUCGCCUCCCAAAUGGUAACGGAGGCGUACAAAGGUUUCCUCUGAACGGGUAGAAAUCGUAUCUAGAGUGUAAAGGCAAAAGGAAGCUUGACUGUGAGACCUACAAGUCGAGCAGGGACGAAAGUCGGUCUUAGUGAUCUGACGGUACUGAGUGGAAAGGCCGUCACUCAACGGAUAAAAGUUACUCUAGGAUAACAGGCUGAUCUCCCCCAAGAGUUCACAUCGACGGGGAGGUUUGGCACCUCGAUGUCGGCUCAUCGCAUCCUGGGGCGGUAGUACGUCCCAAGGGUUGGGCUGUUCGCCCAUGAAAGCGGUACGCGAGCUGGGUUCAGAACGUCGUGAGACAGUUCGGCCCAUAUCCGGUGUAGGCGUUAGAAUAUUGAGAGGAGCCUUCUCUAGUACGAGAGGACCGAGAAGGACAUACCUCUGGUGUACCAGUUAUCGUGCCAACGGUAAACGCUGGGUAGCUAUGUAUGGAGUGGAUAACCGCUGAAAGCAUCUAAGUGGGAAGCCCACCUCAAGAUGAGUAUUC